AAUUCAAGGUUCUCGGAAUAGUGG
rnacentral:siRNA from 1 species